GAUGAACGCUGGCGGCGUGCCUAAUACAUGCAAGUCGAGCGAACGGACGAGAAGCUUGCUUCUCUGAUGUUAGCGGCGGACGGGUGAGUAACACGUGGAUAACCUACCUAUAAGACUGGGAUAACUUCGGGAAACCGGAGCUAAUACCGGAUAAUAUUUUGAACCGCAUGGUUCAAAAGUGAAAGACGGUCUUGCUGUCACUUAUAGCUGGAUCCGCGCUGCAUUAGCUAGUUGGUAAGGUAACGGCUUACCAAGGCAACGACGCAUAGCCGACCUGAGAGGGUGAUCGGCCACACUGGAACUGAGACACGGUCCAGACUCCUACGGGAGGCAGCAGUAGGGAAUCUUCCGCAAUGGGCGAAAGCCUGACGGAGCAACGCCGCGUGAGUGAUGAAGGUCUUCGGAUCGUAAAACUCUGUUAUUAGGGAAGAACAUAUGUGUAAGUAACUGUGCACAUCUUGACGGUACCUAAUCAGAAAGCCACGGCUAACUACGUG
rnacentral:rRNA from 1 species